rnacentral:rRNA from 1 species
GACGUAGGUGGCAAGCGUUGUCCGGAUUUACUGGGCGUAAAGGAUGCGUAGGCGGACAUUUAAGUCAGAUGUGAAAUACCCGAGCUUAACUUGGGUGCUGCAUUUGAAACUGGGUGUCUAGAGUGCAGGAGAGGUAAGUGGAAUUCCUAGUGUAGCGGUGAAAUGCGUAGAGAUUAGGAAGAACACCAGUGGCGAAGGCGACUACCUGGCCUGUUCUUGACGCUGAGGCGCGAAAGCUAGGGGAGCAAACGGG